rnacentral:rRNA from 1 species
UACGAAGGGGGCUAGCGUUGCUCGGAAUUAUUGGGCGUAAAGGGCGCGUAGGCGGCCAUUCAAGUGACGGGUGAAAGCCCUCGGCUUAACCGAGGAACUGCCUGUCAGACUGGAUGGCUUGAGACCGGGAGAGGUGAGUGGAAUUCCCAGUGUAGCGGUGAAAUGCGUAGAUAUUGGGAGGAACACCAGUGGCGAAGGCGGCUCACUGGACCGGAACUGACGCUGAGGCGCGAAAGCGUGGGGAGCAAACAGG